rnacentral:misc_RNA from 1 species
GCCAAACCGUAAAAAAUUUACUCACAUAUUCAACGCCAGGGUACUACAAGCCCUAGCUUAAAACCCAAAGGACUUGACGGUGUCCCACCCAACUAGAGGAGCCUGUUCUAUAACCGAUGAUCCACGUUACACCUAACCACCCUUUGCCUUUCAGCCUGUAUACCUCCGUCGUAAGCUUGCCAUGUGAACGCAUAACAGCAAGCCCAAGGGCCCACUUGCCAAUACGUCAGGUCAAGGUGCAGCUCAUGAGGUGGAAAGUAAUGGGCUACAAUUUCUAUCCUAGAACAAACGAAAUUCUAUAUGAAACAUAGAUCAUGAAGGAGGAUUUAGCAGUAAAUAAGGAAUAGAGAGCCUUAUUAAACCCGGCCCUGGGACGUGUACAAACCGCCCGUCACCCUCUUCGAUUUUAUUAAAAAAGUUUCUUAACCAACCACCUAAUUCAAGAAGAGGAAAGUCGUAACAUGGUAAGUGUACUGGAAAGUGCACUUGGAAUAACAAAUUGUAGCUUAAUAAAAGCCCCUCGCUUACACCGAGAAGUUAUCUGUAUAGUCAGAUCAUUUUGAGCCCUUUCUAGCCCAAAUCAUCGUAUAUGUUACCCCCUCAUAAAAAUUUUUAAAUAAAACAUUUUAACUUCAAAGUAGAGGUGAUCAAAAUUUAUCUCAGCGCUUAAGAAAUAGUACCGCAAGGGAAAAUUGAAAUAAAAUGAAACAAUAAAGCCUAAAAUAGCAGAGACAUUUUCUCGUACCUUUUGCAUUAUGGCCUAGCUAGUCUAAUCAAGCAAGAUGAAAAUCUCAGUUUGACUUCCCGAAACUAAGCGAGCUACUCCAAAACAGCUUUGCGAGCCAACCCGUCUCUGUGGCAAAAGAGUGGGAAGAUUUUCGAGUAGCGGUGAUAAGCCUACCGAGCUUAGAGAUAGCUGGUUAUUCAGAAAAAGAAUUUUAGUUCUGCCUUAAGCCAUCACCAGCUAUAAAACCGCCCAUAAAGCUUAAGAGUUACUCAAUUAGGGCACAGCCUAUUUGAGACAGAAUACAAUCUAGACAGUAGGGUAAAACUUCUGUUGUUAUUAUACACAGUAGGCCUAAAAGCAGCCACCUACAAAAAAGCGUUAGAGCUUAAUAUAAUUUCCCUCUUAAUACCACUAAAAAUCAUGAACCCUCCCCCAGUACUGAAUGACCCCAUAAAUUUAUGGGAGACAAAAUGCUAGGACUAGUAACAAGAAUAUAAAAUUCUCCAAAAUGUAGGUAUAAAUCAGAACGGAUGAACCACUGACCAUUAACGGAAAUGAGUCUACUGUAGUAACCUGACAAGAAAAUUCUGCAAUUCUCCCCGUUAACCUCACACCAGACCAUUUAUGGAAAGAUUAAUAGAUAAAGAAGGAACUCGGCAAACUAUAAUCCCGCCUGUUUACCAAAAACAUCGCCUCUUGUUCAUCAUAAGAGGUCCAGCCUGCCCAGUGACAAAAUUUAACGGCCGCGGUAACCUAACCGUGCGAAGGUAGCAUAAUCACUUGUCCUUUAAAUAGGGGCUCGUAUCAACGGCACCACGAGGGUUAUACUGUCUCCUUUCUCUAAUCAGUGAAACUGAUCCCCCCGUGAAGAAGCGGGGAUAAAACUAUAAGACGAGAAGACCCCAUGGAGCUUUAAAUUAGCAGCAACUCUACCAUCCACCCCCCCAUAAAAUAGAGGUAUGCAUGCGACUUUUAGGUUGGGGCGACCGCGGAGUAUAAAAUAACCCCCACGACGAAAAGA